rnacentral:lncRNA from 1 species
UCGACAUUACUGUACAAAACUAGAAAGUAAAAGACGGAAUAAAAUGAAGAACAGACUCAAAACAUAAAAAAAAUAAAACAAAUCUCCUUAAGCAACUCUUGAUUGAGCGAUCCUGACUGGAUCGUCACAGGGUGUCUGUCAUGCUCAAACUCCGGUAAGUAGAUCCACACAUGUAUGAAAAAAAUUCAAACCAACACUAGGUGAGACAAUAACACUCCCUAUUGGACGCAUGCAAGACAUGAUUGAAGCUAUUUUUGCAAAAUGGAUUAUGUGACCAAAAGGUGGCUAGAAGUGCAAAAUUUGGCUAAGACCCCACAAAGCCAAGAACCUAAGAUUCACUAGGAAGACCGGACCCUAUGUGUGUUGCCUACGUAUCUCGCCCCGAAAGACGAGAAUCAGGUAUGCAUAGUUCGGGCAAAUUGGAUACGGGCGAGAAAUAAAAAUAACAACUAAUUUAGAGAAAAAAAUAUUUUUGUCUUUUGUUUUGAAAAAUGAUGAAACAUGUAAACUCUUUUUGGAUUUUCUUUUUUCUCUUUUUUUGGUUUUAUUGGAUUUUCGGAAAAUGAUGAAAAGGUGCAAAAUCUUUUUUUUGAAUUUUCAUGCUUUUUUUCCCUUAACAAAAAUGUGACAGAAAACAUAAUCGGGCCCUACUUGCUUUAUUUUUAAUACUUCACCCUCUUUUUCUCUUUUUUUUUCUUUUUCAUUUGUCCCCAGCUAUCAUUGGUCUGCCAAAUGACCCUUUUACCCUUGAAAAUUGCAACAUGUAGCACAUAGGAUGCAUCAGGAUGGUCUUUUAUUUUUGGGCACACCUGUCCUUAGACGGACCCAACCCCUGUGUUGAGUCCCCAAAGUCAGAUGCACGUGAUGCAAACAAACGUUCCUACUAGGGAUCCGGCAUGNNNNNNNNNNNNNNNNNNNNNNNNNGAAUCGUGUCACGGGAACGAUACCCACGAUCUAUUAACAUUAUAAGAAGUUGUGGGUCGAGUCAUGCCAGCGUGCACUCGAAUAUUGGGGUUACGUAUCAUGACUAUGCUGCGGGAACCGUACCCAUAGCCACUAAUUUAUUAUUAAUCACGCCUAAAGCAAGCUACGAUGUUUCUAAUUAUUUUCCUAAAGCCAAUUUGAGAUUGUUGUAAGGCCAAGAGUUAUGUAAAUCCAUUGUAUCUUUCCACCACUUCUCAUGAUCAACAAUCAUUCAAACAAAUUCAUGUUCAGUAAGUAAUUUCUCUUUUUAUGUACAAAUUAUUGCCUCUGUUCAAUGCUUCAAAACAAGUUAUUUUUUUGGUGAUAACACUUCUGAAGUUCAAAUUCAUUUUGUAAAAUGAAAUUCUCAAAUGGACAGAUAUAGUACCACCGUAAGACAAUAAAAAACCAAACUUAAACUUCAAAAAGAAGCAAAAUCUAGGAGUUUAACGAAAACUUAUUUCUUUCAAGAAAUUUAUCAAACACCUAUUGUACAAAUCCUUUUACCUACGGGGUUAAUAUACCCAAUUUUUGACAAACAAAAUCUUGCAUGGUGAAGAAUUGGAGUAAAUCACCCUCAAGCUUCAAGUGACAUCAUCCAGUAAUAUACUCCACACAAACCAAAUUAGAUAUGCAGGUAAGAAUCCAGCAAAGACAUCUAAGUAAAUGAGAAAAGUAAUACAGACUCAUUGAAGUCCCAUGAUCGGAAAACAGAUGCAAGGAAAAGACAAAAGGGAAAGCUAAUAAAAGCUAGCAGAACCAACUGGAUAGUAUUUCUUACCACAGAAGGUUGGCCCUUUGAAGAAUUUCGCAGCUUUGCCGGUGCUCGUGAACUUUUGGGAUGGAAAUUAUUGCAUUAGAAAUAGCGAACAAAAUGAGUGCAUGAAUUACUGAGAUCGCAACUUUUCAUUAUGCGACAAAUCAACAAAUACAAGCAUUGGCUCUAAAAUCCAAACGAGAAACCCAAGGAAUUGCAAACUAAAACACGGACGACACCGGAAACUUCAGGCUAAUCUGAACGCCUAAACCCGAACUCAGUCAUACUCCACAUUCUGAAACAGAAUCUAAACGAGAGAGAACUUGAAGGUCUUUGAUUUUUGGGGGAAAUUGAGAGGUGGCCGCAGUCAGAUCUUUUGUGUGGGGGGUCCUUUUUCUUUGUGUGUGUUGAAAAUCAAAGAGUGGCGUUAAGGUUCUUUUUUGGUUAAGAAAAAAAUGAUGGAAAAUCG